rnacentral:rRNA from 1 species
UACGUAGGUGGCAAGCGUUGUCCGGAUUUACUGGGCGUAAAGGGCGUGCAGGCGGUCUGUUAAGUCUAGGGUGAAAGCUCCCGGCUCAACUGGGAGAGGUCCUUGGAUACUGGCGGACUUGAGGGAGGCAGAGGAGAGUGGAAUUCCCGGUGUAGUGGUGAUAUGCGUAGAUAUCGGGAGGAACACCAGUGGCGAAGGCGGCUCUCUGGGCCUUUCCUGACGCUGAGACGCGAAAGCGUGGGGAGCGAACCGG